rnacentral:rRNA from 1 species
CAGCCGCCGCGGUAAUACGUAGGUGGCAAGCGUUGUCCGGAAUUAUUGAGCGUAAAGCGCGCGCAGGCGGAUAGGUCAGUCUGUCUUAAAAGUUCGGGGCUUAACCCCGUGAUGGGAUGGAAACUGCCAAUCUAGAGUAUCGGAGAGGAGAGUGGAAUUCCUAGUGUAGCGGUGAAAUGCGUAGAUAUUAGGAAGAACACCAGUGGCGAAGGCGACUUUCUGGACGAAAACUGACGCUGAGGCGCGAAAGCCAGGGGAGCGAACGGGAUUAGAUACCCCCGUAGUCCCUGUCUCUUAUACC